AAUAGAUACCCAGGUAGUCCAUGCCGUAAACGUUGGGCACUAGGUGUGGGGCUCAUUCCACGAGUUCCGUGCCGCAGCAAACGCAUUAAGUGCCCCGCCUGGGGAGUACGGCCGCAAGGCUAAAACUCAAAGGAAUUGACGGGGGCCCGCACAAGCGGCGGAGCAUGCGGAUUAAUUCGAUGCAACGCGAAGAACCUUACCAAGGCUUGACAUGCACGGGAAGCCACCAGAGAUGGUGGUCUCUUUGGACACUCGUGCACAGGUGGUGCAUGGUUGUCGUCAGCUCGUGUCGUGAGAUGUUGGGUUAAGUCCCGCAACGAGCGCAACCCUGUCCCAUGUUGCCAGCGGGUUAUGCCGGGGACUCAUGGGAGACUGCCGGGGUCAACUCGGAGGAAGUGGGGAUGACGUCAAAUCAUCAUGCCCCUUAUGUCUUGGGCUUCACGCAUGCUACAAUGGCCGGUACAAAGGGCUGCGAUACCGUAAGGUGGAGCGAAUCCCAAAAAGCCGGUCUCAGUUCGGAUUGGGGUC
rnacentral:rRNA from 1 species